AACAUUAAAGGGCUGCAGUAUAUUGACUGUACAAAGGUAGCAUAAUCAUUAGUCUUUUAAUUGAAGACUUGUAUGAAAGAUUUGAUGAGAUAUAAACUGUCUCUUAGUUAUUUAUAGAAAUUAAUUUUUUAGUUAAAAAGCUAAAAUAUUUAUAAAAGACGAGAAGACCCUAUAGAGUUUUAUAAUUAAAAUUAUAAUAAUUGAAUAUAUAAAUUGAAGUUAAAAUAAUUUUAUUUAUUUUAUUGGGGUGAUAGAAAAAUUUAUUUAACUUUUUUUAAAAAUUAAACAUAUAUAAGUGAAAAUAUGAUCCAAUAGAUAUUGAUUAAAAGAAAAAAUUACCUUAGGGAUAACAGCGUAAUUUUUUUUUUUAGUACAAAUAAAAAGAAAAGUUUGCGACCUCGAUGUUGGAUUAAGAUAAAAUUUAAAUGUAAAAGUUUAAAAUUUU
rnacentral:rRNA from 1 species